GCGGGAGUAGCUCAAUUGGCAGAGCGUCAGCCUUCCAAGCUGAAGGUUGCGGGUUCGAGACUCGUCUCCCGCU
rnacentral:tRNA from 1 species